rnacentral:lncRNA from 1 species
GAACACCAUACCUUAAACCAUCCCCUCUAAUUAUUACUCUUUUCACAAAAGAUAUUUUUGAAACUCUUCACCUGCAACAAGUUGGGACACAUUUAUAAAGAACUACUUUGUCUUGCCCCAAGAAGAAAAAUCCAACGCCACCCUCCUUUGUCUUCGCUUUCCUAAUUAAGCUAAUUUCUGGCUGCCCUCUAGCCUCUCCGAGCGACCUCUUUUUGAGCACCAAAUACAAAUCCAAGCCUGCCUUUGUCCGUCUCUAAGCACAGUCGACCAAAACAUCACGGAACCCAUCAUCUGCUGCUGUUACCACACGCGAUCACCACCGUAGCCGUCGCCACUGCAGCACCAACGAACGUCCGUGAACCAACCGCAGGAUCUCAUACUCGUUGAGGACAACUCGUAUCUAUAUCGUUUUGCUAAAUUGACUAAAGCAGGUUCUCAGGGUACUCAGGGCGGGGUGUGAAGAGAGAAGAAUUGAGCUCUAGGACUUUUAAUCAGAGGAAAUUAGUCAUUUUUGUAGCAUAUGCUAGCUUAUCUAUUUUGACCACCCUCUAAUAUGUAAUAAACUUUACCCUAGGGCUCUUGUACAUUCUUUUGGUGAUGUACUCCUAAUGUUUAACUUAUGGAAUUAUGUCUUAUGUUUUGAAUACUGUAAUAGUGACACGGCACCACAUUCCGGAGUGGGGUGUUACAUUUGAGUAACCAGAUGUGUAGUUAGAGAGAGAGAGACAUUUGAGUAACCAGAUGUGUAGUUAGAGAGAGAGAGAGAGAGUAAUUAAGUUUUUAAGUUUAUUGAUUUAGUAGUUAGUAGUAGUUAAUGAGAGUAGUCACCGGAUAUCGGGGGGAGAUAAAAGGGGUAGUCACCGGAAAUUCGAGAUAGACUAGAGGAGUACUCACCUGAAAGUUGAUGGAGAGAGAGGAGAAGGUCUUCUGAUUGAGUGAUGCGGCGGCGGUGCUGAAAGUAGGGCAACACAUGUUGAGGAGACGAUCUGUUUCCAUUUUGUUUUUAGAUCAUGUGACUUGCACUUGA